CCCAGCAACUUUUCAGGUUAUUUAUAUGACUGGAUGGAGGGAGCACCCUUCUCAGCAGAAAGCCAAGAGUAGAGGCUCUGCAACCGUCUCAUUUAAGGACAUCCAAAAGCAUUUAGGCAAAACAGAAGACGCUCCUACAUAGAUUGUUCAGUCUCUGUAUGAUUCCUUCAGUUAAACGUGUAGAAAAGUGACGAUCCAGUACGGACAUUUUGUGAGGUUCAAAGCAUGGAGCAAGGAAGGGCUCCCCAUUCAAAAGAGGGCUCCCCAUUCAAAAGAACAUGGCUAGGAUUUGUAAUGCCUUAAGACAACUUUUUGGUAGUUCAUCAUUUGCAUUCAAACGUUGGACAUAAUAUUGCAACCAUCAACACCAUAAUCAAAGAAGCACAAGCUAGAAUCCUGACAAGUAAAGGAAACGACCAUCAUGGAUUUUGGUCUUCUUGUUUUCUUUCUAGGUUUUUGGUGGGAAAUGUACUGAUUGGGAUGUAUAAUCAUUGUGGUAUUGUUGAAAAAUAUCAUUUUAUCGGCGGAAAAUACAACACAUAUGUAGUUACAUAAAGAAAGUUUUACUCUUCCAAAAUUCUGCCUUGAAAAUAGAGAAAAUCAAAAGAAGUAUGCUGUUUACUUAUUCAUAGAUAUUGCUUUGAAGACUGGGUUUUUCCAUAUUGGUUUUUCCAUAUUGGAGUAUAAAUGUAAUUUAUUUGAUGCUAUACA